rnacentral:rRNA from 1 species
CCUACGGGGGGCAGCAGUGGGGAAUAUUGCACAAUGGGCGCAAGCCUGAUGCAGCCAUGCCGCGUGUGUGAAGAAGGCCUUCGGGUUGUAAAGCACUUCCAGCGGGGAGGAAGGCGGUGAGGUUAAUAACCUCAUCGAUUGACGUUACCCGCAGAAGAAGCACCGGCUAACCCCGUGCCAGCAGCCGCGGUAAUACGGAGGGUGCAAGCGUUAAUCGGAAUUACUGGGCGUAAAGCGCACGCAGGCGGUCUGUCAAGUCGGAUGUGAAAUCCCCGGGCUCAACCUGGGAACUGCAUUCGAAACUGGCAGGCUAGAGUCUUGUAGAGGGGGGUAGAAUUCCAGGUGUAGCGGUGAAAUGCGUAGAGAUCUGGAGGAAUACCGGUGGCGAAGGCGGCCCCCUGGACAAAGACUGACGCUCAGGUGCGAAAGCGUGGGGAGCAAACAGGAUUAGAUACCCGUGUAGUC